rnacentral:tRNA from 1 species
GCUAGGUGUAGCUCAGUGGUAGUGUGCUGGUCUAGCAUGUGUGAGGCCCUGGGUUCCAUUCCCAGCACCACA